rnacentral:rRNA from 1 species
AUUGAACGCUGGCGGCAGGCCUAACACAUGCAAGUCGAGCGGCAGCGGAAAGUAGCUUGCUACUUUGCCGGCGAGCGGCGGACGGGUGAGUAAUGUCUGGGAAACUGCCUGAUGGAGGGGGAUAACUACUGGAAACGGUAGCUAAUACCGCAUAACGUCGCAAGACCAAAGCGGGGGACCUUCGGGCCUCUUGCCAUCAGAUGUGCCCAGAUGGGAUUAGCUAGUAGGUGGGGUAACGGCUCACCUAGGCGACGAUCCCUAGCUGGUCUGAGAGGAUGACCAGCGACACUGGAACUGAGACACGGUCCAGACUCCUACGUGAGGCAGCAGUGGGGAAUAUUGCACAAUGGGCGCAAGCCUGAUGCAGCCAUGCCGCGUGUAUGAAGAAGGCCUUCGGGUUGUAAAGUACUUUCAGCGGGGAGGAAGGUGUUGAGGUUAAUAACCUCAGCAAUUGACGUUACCCGCAGAAGAAGCACCGGCUAACUCCGUGCCAGCCGCCGCGGUAACAC